GGGCGAUUAGCUCAGGGGGAGAGCGCUACCUUCACACGGUAGAAGUCGUGGGUUCAAAUCCCUCAUCGCCCACCA
rnacentral:tRNA from 1 species